rnacentral:rRNA from 1 species
GGGCUUAAAGCGUUCGUAGCCGGCUCAGCAAGUCUUCCGUUAAAUCCAGCGAUCUAAUCGUUGGACUGCGGAAGAUACUGUUGGGCUAGGGGACGGGAGAAGCCGACGGUAUUCUCGGGGUAGGGGCGAAAUCCUAUAAUCCCGGGAGGACCACCAGUGGCGAAGGCGGUCGGCUAGAACGCGCCCGACGGUGAGGGACGAAAGCUGGGGGAGCGAACCGGAUUAGAUACCCGGGUAGUCCCAGCUGUAAACUAUGCGGGCUAGGUGUUGGGGCGGCCACGAGCCGCUUCAGUGCCGCACGGAAGCAAUUAAGCCCGCCGCCUGGGAAGUACGGCCGCAAGGCUGAAACUUAAAGGAAUUGGCGGGGGAGCACCACAAGGCGUGAAGCUUGCGGUUUAAUUGGAUUCAACGCCGGAA